AUCGCUUCUCGGCCCUUUUGGCUAAGAUCAAGUGUAGUAUCAAGUGAAUAAAAAUUUUAGUUGUUUUUAAACUGCAGUAAAAUAU
rnacentral:snRNA from 1 species